CGCCGGCUGCGGGGCUGCGCUCGGGCAGGGCAGGGCGCGUUCAGUCGGGUUAUCCCGGAGCCGAACGCGCGCUCUCCGGCUUUCCGGACGGAUCCGGCCGUUCUCCCAGAUUUUCCCAUCCAGGUGUUCGCGCCCGCUGUUUGCAGCCUCUUGCGGUCACGGAUGAGUCGCUGCACCGGGGAAAGGCACAGCCGUGUCCUUCCCGUCCUGCUGCGGUCGCGGCUCCCCCCGCGGGGUCCCUUCGGGCCGGGCUGGCCCUGCAGCGGCAGGACCACUUUGUACUCGGGGCUCCUUUGGUAACAAAACCAAAACAAGGAAGAAUCUCCUGUAAUAUUAUUUCAUCUUUAGCCUAUUGCUGUCUGAUGAACACAAGGGAAAGAACAGCUGGUCUCAGUGCAAGAUACAUGGGCUUAGUGAUGAGGAAAAGGAAACCGAGAGGAUGAAUUUCCAGGUUCCCCUGAUAGAAGAGCAGGAACAAUGUGCAACUCAGUCGGGAAAAACUUGAACUACAUCUGUCUGCUUUAUUUUUGUGUAUUUACAUAUCUAAG
rnacentral:lncRNA from 12 species